CCCGCGUUCUAUUUGCGUUCCAAUCUUGCAGCCCCCGACGCUGUGAUAAAAAGAGACGGGUAAUAUGAUAAAUUGCCGAUUUUUGAAAAAGUGACAUGAGAGUGAGAGAUGGUGAGCGGCGGCAAGUUGAAGAGAA
ensembl:ncRNA ZK973.15 ncRNA